GGGAGUAUAUACAGUUAUGUUCUUCUAUUCAGUGAUGUAAAUGUUUCAAUCUAGUAGACAUUUUUGUUAUGGUACCUUUAUUGUAGUCAUUUGGGAGGGUACCCUUUGUAGGCAGGUUUGGAAUUUUGACCUUAAAGACAUAUCAUUGUACUCUGGUUAUGCCGUACGUGUUUCAGAUAGCUGUGGUUUUUAUUUAGCUGGAGGCCCGUUCGCACUGAUUGCAGUUUUCAACAAGUGCUUGAUAAGUGU
rnacentral:lncRNA from 1 species